UAAGAAUUAAAUUCAAAUGAAGAAAAUGAAAAAAAUAAGAAACAAACACGAGAAAAUAAAAUUAUAAUAAAGUUUCGAGUAAAACCUAAAAAAUCUCACUCGAAUUGAUCGAAUUAUUCAUUCAUAUAAUUCACAAAUUCAUAUGGAAUUUAUUCAUAACCUCAAAAAGUUAGUUUCAUCGAUAAAGGAAAUCGUAAACUCUAGAUUCCACUAACUGAUUGAAUGCUGAUCGGAAAAUGGGUGAGAGUUUUCGAUUGUUAGGCUUUCUGAUUCGAAAUUCAGCUUAUACAAACAGAACCUGGUUUCCGCGAUAGCAAGGGCAGCCGUUUAGAAUCGGUGCUCGCAACACGAUGCAUAAUACAAAUUGGUGUUCUUGCAACGAUCGAUAGCCCAUGUUCGAUUGUUCUCUCGGGAGCAGUUGCACAUUGUUAUUACAAGUGACGCCACGAGCAAUGUGUUCUACUAUUGUGGUAUCCUUAAUUACUAACGAAAUUGGUUUAAAUUUCGAACAUUUAUGCAGCAACGUAAUCUCACAAAGGGAACAAAUGAAAAGAAAUUUAUCAAUUACACGCGAUUUCUCGACACCAGUGGAAAGCCCUAUUCUCCCAUUCUAUCGAGAAAAAGGAAAUGAGUAGCUAUUCGUCGGUCACGAUAAUUAGCCAAAGGAAAAGAAAACGACGAAGAAAAAGAGAAAGAGAACCAAGUGACGGAGGCGAGUUGUCCGCUUCACUCGGCUUUCUUUCCGAAACUCAUCGUGCAAAUAAAGGAAAGGGCCACGUCGAGGACGAAGGCCACCGUUACACAUUCAUCUUUUAAAGCGGCACUUUUCAAAGCAUCACUUUACGAACCACCCAACUGCGUUACAGGAGAGAAAGCUCAUUCCCUACAUAGUGUCGCGAAACGCCUCUUUUAUCCCUCUUUGCAUUGCGUCCGUAACAACCAUCGACUACACGUGUACUCGUCAAUAUUUUCCCUUUUUAUUAUUAAUCUCUGCAGUCUCGUUCGUCCUCACUGGCUCGUCUUUUCUUAACAUAAUGUAUAUAUAGAAUAUAUUUUACGAUAUUCGUUAUAAUAUUGUGAUUAAGAAUUUUGUUGUUUAUUAAAUAAGAAGGAAUUAAGGAAUUAAGGACAUUAUAACGUAGAUGGAAAAGCCUUCGAUUGACUUUUUGACCGGAGAGUUGAGAAUUUAAAUUCUGUUCGUUUUCAUUUUUUUUUCUUUAAAUAAUAUAAUAUAUAUGUUAAUAUAUAUUCGUGAGAUACUUUUGGAGGAUCGAUUCUGGAGGCUAGGCCAAGGUUAGUAUAUAGAAAUAUCGAUUAAGGGUUAUUUAUUAAGUUAUAAGCAAUUUAAGUUUGCAGUAGAUGAAGCAAGGCAGUGUUGUGACAAAGAUAAAGCUGUCUCAAUCUAUCUUCGUCUCGUUUAUAACAUAAUAAAUAAUGGAUAGUUUUUUAUAA